rnacentral:rRNA from 1 species
GAUGAACGCUGGCGGCGUGCCUAAUACAUGCAAGUCGAGCGAACAGACGAGGAGCUUGCUCCUCUGACGUUAGCGGCGGACGGGUGAGUAACACGUGGAUAACCUACCUAUAAGACUGGGAUAACUUCGGGAAACCGGAGCUAAUACCGGAUAAUAUAUUGAGCCGCAUGGUUCAAUAGUGAAAGACGGUUUUGCUGUCACUUAUAGAUGGCUCCGCGCCGCAUUAGCUAGUUGGUAAGGUAACGGCUUACCAAGGCAACGAUGCGUAGCCGACCUGAGAGGGUGAUCGGCCACACUGGAACUGAGACACGGUCCAGACUCCUACGGGAGGCAGCAGUAGGGAAUCUUCCGCAAUGGGCGAAAGCCUGACGGAGCAACGCCGCGUGAGUGAUGAAGGUCUUCGGAUCGUAAAACUCUGUUAUUAGGGAAGAACAAAUGUGUAAGUAACUAUGCACGUCUUGACGGUACCUAAUCAGAAAGCCACGGCUAACUACGUG